UCACAUUUUCGUCGAUUGCCACAUUACGACCACUCCAAAUUGUUCAAUUAUUUUCCCCCCUUGUCUUUCCCCUAAGAACUAUUAGUCUCUUUGAUUAGCUUCAAUUAUUCCGGAAUUCCACAAUGGCUAACUUCAAUCCGUACUUCGCUUCCUCCUCUUCUACCUCACGCUCUGCAGAAGACGAAGAGGCUAUUCUUAACAGUGCCGCUAUGCUACUUUUUUCACUGGAAGCAGAAUUUUACGAUGGUCCUCUUAUCAAAAUACCUUGUCGCAAUUCUGACAUGCCUGGUUGGAAGUGGGUUCAAGAGUUAAUAACAGGUCACCCACUCCGUAUUUUAGAGAACUGUCGGAUUACUGUUGACAAUUUCUUGAGGCUUUGUGAAGUUCUGGUAGGCAAUAACUAUGUCCCGUAAAAUCCACACAAGCAUGUGACGAUCGAGGAAUUGCUAGCCAUGACUUUAGUUAUGUUAAGUCAUAGCACGCGAACUCGUGUAGUAGCCGAAAGAUUCCAACAUUCAACGGAAACCAUCCAUAGAAAUGUAGCAGAAGUGCUGUUGGGGUUAUGUCGAUUUGCACAACGAAUUAUUCGUCCCAAACAAAGUGAUGAAGUGCAUCCAAAAAUACGGUAUAGCACAAAGUACUAUCCUUGGUUCAAGGACUGUUUAGGUGCUUUGGACGGCACACAUAUCCCAGCUUCAGUUCCCUCAAUAGAGCAGAUGGCCUACACAAAUAGGCAUGGGACUCAAAGCCAAACAUAUUAGCUGUAUGUGACCAUGAUAUGCGAUUCAUUUAUGUCUAUGCCGGAUGGGAAGGUAGCGCACACGAUGCACGAGUGUUAGAAAGUGCAAUGAGAAUGCACACCGACUUCCCAUUUCCCCCACAAGGUAAGUUCUACUUGGUUGACGCGGCUUAUAAGAUGCAGCCUGGGUUUUUAGCGCCGUUCAAGGGAGGACGUAACACAAGUGUUGGACAAGGACGUGGUCGAGCCCAAUGACCGAAAGAGCUAUUUAAUACUCGUCACUCUCAACUUCGUAAUGUAAUUGAACGCUCUUUCGGUGUAUUGAAGCAACGAUUUGCCUAUUUAAGGGGGCCGGUUCCAUAUUCAUUUAUGCAAACACAAAUCAAUGUGGUAAUUGCAUGUUGUGCACUACACAAUUUUCUUAGGAAAAAUUAGCCUUCGGAUGAUCACUUCAUGAUGUAUGAACAAGAUGAUGUGCUAUUCGAAGGCGAAGGUGGAGCUCCUCCAUAUCCACAGAUACAACCAUUGACGUCCCCGCAAGAAAUUGAAGAAUGGAAGGGAAUGAGAGAAGAAAUGGCCAAUCAAAUGCAUGCCGCGUUGCGAAGACGGAGACAUUAGAUGAAUCAAAAUCUCCAUGGCAAAUACAAGGAAGGCGAAGUAGUUACUUCCUCCCUACACAUGUAACUGGAUAUGGGGUGCGGUGGAUAUAUCCAAACGAAUGCAUAUCUCAUGUUUCUCGUGUGUAAUAAGAUGCUUUAAUUCUAGUAGAAGAAAUAAUCAAGUGAUGUUACAAUGGGGUACUUGCACAUCAUGCGUUUCAUGCACGAUGUGUAACAACUUGUAUUUUUGUACUUGGAUUUGUUUUGAAAUAA